rnacentral:tRNA from 1 species
CGUCUGUUAGCUGAGUGGUUUAGCAAAGUCUUGAUAAGGCUUAGAGGUUGGUUCGAUUCCAACACGGACGACCA